GACGAACGCUGGCGGCGUGCCUAAUACAUGCAAGUCGAGCGCAGGAAACUGACGGAACUCUUCGGAGGGAAGGCAGUGGAAUGAGCGGCGGACGGGUGAGUAACACGUAAGGAACCUGCCUCAAGGAUUGGGGUAACUCCGAGAAAUCGGAGCUAAUACCGGAUAGUUCAACGGACCGCAUGGCCCGCUGAUGAAAGGCGCUCCGGCGUCACCUUGAGAUGGCCUUGCGGUGCAUUAGCUAGUUGGUGGGGUAACGGCCCACCAAGGCGACGAUGCAUAGCCGACCUGAGAGGGUGAUCGGCCACACUGGGACUGAGACACGGCCCAGACUCCUACGGGAGGCAGCAGUAGGGAAUCUUCCACAAUGGACGAAAGUCUGAUGGAGCAACGCCGCGUGAGUGAUGAAGGUUUUCGGAUCGUAAAACUCUGUUGUAAGGGAAGAACACGUACGAGAGGAAAUGCUCGUACCUUGACGGUACCUUACGAGAAAGCCACGGCUAACUACGUGCCAGCCGCCGCGGUAAAAC
rnacentral:rRNA from 1 species